GUGAACCUGCGGAAGGAUCAUUACCGAGUGUAGGGUUCCUAGCGAGCCCAACCUCCCACCCGUGUUUACUGUACCUUAGUUGCUUCGGCGGGCCCGCCAUUCAUGGCCGCCGGGGGCUCUCAGCCCCGGGCCCGCGCCCGCCGGAGACACCACGAACUCUGUCUGAUCUAGUGAAGUCUGAGUUGAUUGUAUCGCAAUCAGUUAAAACUUUCAACAAUGGAUCUCUUGGUUCCGGCAUCGAUGAAGAACGCAGCGAAAUGCGAUAACUAGUGUGAAUUGCAGAAUUCCGUGAAUCAUCGAGUCUUUGAACGCACAUUGCGCCCCCUGGUAUUCCGGGGGGCAUGCCUGUCCGAGCGUCAUUGCUGCCCAUCAAGCACGGCUUGUGUGUUGGGUCGUCGUCCCCUCUCCGGGGGGGACGGGCCCCAAAGGCAGCGGCGGCACCGCGUCCGAUCCUCGAGCGUAUGGGGCUUUGUCACCCGCUCUGUAGGCCCGGCCGGCGCUUGCCGAACGCAAAUCAAUCUUUUUCCAGGUUGACCUCGGAUCAGGUAGGGAUACCCGCUGA
rnacentral:rRNA from 1 species